CAUGACCAAGAUUGGGCAAACGUCUCCAACAUGACUUUCAGCAACGGAAAACUAAGAGUCAAAGGCAUUUAUUACCGGAAUGCCGACAUUUGCUCUCGACAUCGCGUAACCUCAGCAGGCCUAACUCUGCAGGACCUUCAGCUAUGGUGUAAUUUGAGAAUCAUUCACUGAGCAUCAACUAUGUAACCAGCAUUGGGUUGGGUGCCAGAGAUCCAAAGCUAAGACACCAAAACCUGCUCUCCAGGAAACGAGAGGCUGAGAAGAGGGCCAGCAGGUGUCUGUCAGUACUUGGAGCCGUGAGAGCAGGGAGUGGGUGCUGGGCUGAGGAACCAGAGGUAAUGGCCCUGGGGACGCCCGGGAAGAGAUGAGUUUUGAGGCAAAGAAUUGUUAACAUACAAGAUAAUCAAAGCACGAAGGCUCUGAUGCGUGAUAAAAUAAUCAUUUCUCAAAACAGGAAGAUGAGAACUGCAUUUCGAGUUGUAUCACUUGGUACGCAAUACUUGCAAUCUGUGUGCUGUAAUUACAGUGUUUCUUCACUCU
rnacentral:lncRNA from 1 species